CAUAGAUCUAUGCCCCUUGAUAUGACUUUGCAGUUCCUUCUACUAAGAAGAUGAAUCCAUUUCUCCACCCGCUGAGUCUGGGCUGGUCUUGUGAUGUGCGUUAGUCAAUAGAAGUGGCUGAAGUGAUGGCGCGCCAGUUUUUAGCCUACACUUCAAGAAGCCUAUGGACUUCCACUUGCUGUCUUGAAACCCUGUUUGAAAAAGGUUCCCUGAGGACAAGGCCAGACUAGCCUGCUGGAGGGUAAUCUCCUCCCCUGGAGUGUGGACCAGAGUUAGUGACUCACCUCUAACGAAUGAAAUAGCUCAGUCUGAUGGAAGCAGCUGCCCUGUUGUGAGCUCCCCCUAGGGAGAGGCCCACAUGGGAAGAAAUCAAAGUAUGCCUCAAACCAACAGCCAGAGGGAAACUGAGGCUUCAGUCCAACAAGCCAGAAGGAACUGAAUCCCACCAACAACCACUUCAUUGAGCCAGUAAGUGGCUCCUCUCCCAGUCUUGAGAUGGCUCCAACAUCAGCUGACACCUUAAUUACAGCCUCGUGAGGGACCCUGAGCCAGAGAAUCAGCUAAG
rnacentral:lncRNA from 10 species